CCCUUAGAUGUCCUGGGCCGCACGCGUGCUACACUGACGCCUACAGCGAGUACUUCCCAGCCCCGAGAGGUGGCUGGUAAUCAGCAAUAGGCGUCGUGAUGGGGAUAGAUCUUUGGAAUUAUGGAUCUUGAACGAGGAAUGCCUAGUAAGCGCAGGUCAUUAGCCUGCGUUGAUUAAGUCCCUGCCCUUUGUACACACCGCCCGUCGCUCCUACCGAUUUCGAGUGGUCCGGUGAAUCUUUCGGACUGCGCGCGGCUUCGUGCCGUGUCGCGGAAAGUCAGGUAAACCUUAUCACUUAGAGGAAGGAGAAGUCGUANCA
rnacentral:rRNA from 1 species